UUAGUGGCGCAGCUAACGCAAUAAGUAGACCGCCUGGGGAGUACGGCCGCAAGGUUAAAACUCAAAUGAAUUGACGGGGGCCCGCACAAGCGGUGGAGCAUGUGGUUUAAUUCGACGCAACGCGAAGAACCUUACCUACUCUUGACAUCCAGAGAACUUUCCAGAGAUGGAUUGGUGCCUUCGGGAACUCUGAGACAGGUGCUGCAUGGCUGUCGUCAGCUCGUGUUGUGAAAUGUUGGGUUAAGUCCCGUAACGAGCGCAACCCUUAUCCUUACUUGCCAGCACUUUGGGUGGGAACUUUAAGGAGACUGCCGGUGACAAACCGGAGGAAGGUGGGGACGACGUCAAGUCAUCAUGGCCCUUACGAGUAGGGCUACACACGUGCUACAAUGGCGUAUACAGAGGGCAGCGAACUUGCGAGAGUAAGCAAAUCCCAUAAAGUACGUCGUAGUCCGGAUUGGAGUCUGCAACUCGACUCCAUGAAGUCGGAAUCGCUAGUAAUCGUGAAUCAGAAUGUCACGGUGAAUACGUUCCCGGGCCUUGUACACACCGCCCGUCACACCAUGGGAGUUGAUUGCUCCAGAAGUAGCUAGCUU
rnacentral:rRNA from 1 species